GCCUCCCUCGCUUAAGCAUGAAAGUUGCCAGUAGCCUUGUAAGAGAUAUUGUCCCCAGAACAUUAAUGUUGAAUGUAGCCUUGAGACUUUCUUCAGUUACAUCUAAAGCUGUUGAUUUAGGGCGCUCAUAGGCUGCAUUAUGGACCAUGUAAUCAACACCGGCUCCAGAGAAAAAGGACUCUGCUUUUUCCACUGCCUCUCUAAGAGAAUCUUCACUAGAUGCCAAAUCAAAAGGUAAAAUCUUCACUUCAUCAGGAG
rnacentral:misc_RNA from 1 species